rnacentral:rRNA from 1 species
AGAGUUUGAUCCUGGCUCAGGAUGAACGCUGGCGGCGUGCCUAACACAUGCAAGUCGAGCGAGCCUAAUUAUCGGAAGUCUUCGGAUGGAAGAUAAUGAUGCUAGCGGCGGACGGGUGAGUAACGCGUGGGCAACCUACCCUGUACAGGGGGAUAACAAUGGGAAACCAUUGCUAAUACCCCAUAAAGCCUUCUAGGGGCAUCCCUUAAAGGUCAAAGAAUUUCGGUACAGGAUGGGCCCGCGUCUGAUUAGCUAGUUGGUGAGGUAAUGGCUCACCUAGGCGACGAUCAGUAGCCGGCCUGAGAGGGUGAACGGCCACACUGGAACUGAGACACGGUCCAGACUCCUACGGGAGGCAGCAGUGGGGAAUAUUGCACAAUGGGCGAAAGCCUGAUGCAGCAACGCCGCGUGAGCGAUGAAGGCUUUCGAGUCGUAAAGCUCUGUCCUAAGGGAAGAUAAUGACGGUACCUUAGGAGGAAGCCCCGGCUAACUACGUGCCAGCAGCCGCGGUAAUACGUAGGGGGCAAGCGUUAUCCGGAAUCAUUGGGCGUAAAGGGUGCGUAGGCGGCCCUAUAGGUCAGAGGUCAAAGGCUACGGCUCAACCGUAGUAAGCCUUUGAAACUGUAGGGCUUGAGUGCAGGAGAGGAGAGUGGAAUUCCUAGUGUAGCGGUGAAAUGCGUAGAUAUUAGGAGGAACACCA